AAAUUUGGAACCGUACGCGGGUUGUAAUUUGAAGGCCAGUACUGGAGCGGGCGCCGCCUAUGUUCCUUGGAACAGGACGUCACAGAGGGUGAGAAUCCCGUGUGGCGGUCGCCUCAACCGUGGAGUACGCGCCGACGAGUCGAGUUGUUUGGGAAUGCAGCUCUAAGUGGGUGGUAAAUUCCAUCUAAAGCUAAAUAUUGGCGAGAGACCGAUAGCGAACAAGUACAGUGAUGGAAAGAUGAAAAGCACUCUGAAGAGAGAGUGAAACAGUACGUGAAAUUGUUGGAAGGGAAGGGCAUGGGGGUAGUCUGAGCAAUCGGGAAGGGGGAAUUCGUGGGGGUGUAUAAUGGCGCGGGAAUGUAGCUGCUUGCAGUGUUAUAGCCCGUGUUGAUGCGCCGCCGU
rnacentral:rRNA from 2 species